rnacentral:lncRNA from 1 species
AUGCAUCAAAGUAAAUUAUUAGAGGUUAAGUUAAAAGUCAUUGGAAUAAAUGAUAUUUUCUGAGAAUAAUUUGUUAUUAAAGAAGAGUUUUUAGCCUUGUCUCUGAGCUUGGACUAUGAUCUUCAUAUAUUCAUUGCUGCAGAUUUUCAUAUCUUUUACUUAAUUGUGUGAAAACCGUUAGAACACACGGUUCUUCUUCCAAGAUAAAAUCUGUCGAGGCCACAUGAAUAUUUCUUUUGUCAGUCUUCUUAGUAAAAUCAAGACAACUAUGGAGACAAUGCAAUUUUUAAACAUCAGUUACAGGUGAUCUUUGAGCUGGUAUAAAUUAGAAGAGUUUUCUUGCAUCUAUAGGUAGUCAAUAUGAAAAAUAUUUUCAUAUUUUCUAUCAUUAAUUGCUCCACUGAAACAUUUACUUUUCUUCUAAUGGUUACUGCUGUCUUCCUCUGCAAGGCAGUACAUCACAGAAAUGAUUUGGUGUUGGAAUUAAGAAGAGACACACAAGUAUAAAAGCACUUAGUGAUGAAAGGUGGAUCCACAGGAAAUAGCUGCAGAAUUUGUUCACACAGCAUAAACUAAUAAAUAUGCACAGGUCAUGGGAGAAGUGGAUUUAUUUCAAGAUACAGUGAACAACAUUUCACCUGCUGAAGGAAAUUAAGACAGUAACUUUUUCUUGCUGCAAAACCAUUCUGAAAUUCUCUGGAGAAAACAGGAUACUUUUCCUUUCCUGCACUCACUCAAAAAGAACAACCCCAACAAAGUACUGCAGAAACUGCAGAAGGUCAUGUGUGUUAACUGUGCAGAGUACUGGGUGGCCUAAAUACAUCUUGAGCAUCUCUGGAUACAUCUUCUGUCAUUACUCCUAAACUUCACUGUGCAGUCAGACUGCACAUACACCACUGUAUGAGGAAAUCUGAAAUCUGUGGACACUUUUGGAGCCGAAUAUUGCAUGCAGUCUGUGUUUAUAGUAAACUUUGGUCUAUAUAUAGAUCCUUUUGGUUGGUUGACUUAGGCCAACCACAGGGCAUCAAUCCAGCCACUCUCUCGUUCUCUAUCCCUCCUCAACAGGUGGAGGAGGAGAAGAAAGUAACUCCAACUCAGAUAAAGACAGAUAGAUUACUUUCCAGCUACUGUCAUGGAUAAAACAGCUUCAACUCGGGGAAAAGUAUUUUAAAUUAUUACAAAUUUGAAUAGAGAUACAUAGUGAGAAAGACAGACAAGACCUGAAAUACCAUUCUCACCCUUAUUUCCAGUCUCAGCCUCACUCUGUUUAUUCCUAACUCCUUCCCCUUUUGACUUCACAGCCCCAGCAGUAAAAUAUGGGAUGGGUAAGGUUGCAGUGAAUAUUGUGAAUAUUGCAGUGAAUAUGGGAAUGUUGCAGUGAGUUCAAAGGAGUUCACAUCUGCCACUCUUUCCUCCUCACUUUGUUCCCUGCUCUGCCAUGAGGUCCUUAUUGGGCUGCACAGAAAUAUCUUCUCCACCACUGUCUUUCCCACAGGCUGUACUGGAAUCUCUGCUCCCACAUCUUCAACAUCUUUUAUUACUUUUUCUUCAGUGAUCCUGUUUCCAGGGCUGUUUCUCAUAAUUGUUUUUCCCCUCACUCCUAUUAAUAAAAUAGUCUCAAUGUAGGCCA